rnacentral:rRNA from 1 species
GAUGAACGCUAGCGGCAGGCUUAACACAUGCAAGUCGAGGGGUAGAAAUAGCUUGCUAUUUUGAGACCGGCGCACGGGUGCGUAACGCGUAUGCAAUCUGCCUUGUACUGGGGAAUAGCCCGGAGAAAUCCGGAUUAAUGCCCCAUGGUAUUUUUGUGUGGCAUCACACGAUUAUUAAAGAUUUAUCGGUACAAGAUGAGCAUGCGUCCCAUUAGUUAGUUGAUGUGGUAACGGCACACCACAACGAUGAUGGGUAGGGGUCCUGAGAGGGAGCUCCCCCACACUGGUACUGAGACACGGACCAGACUCCUACGGGAGGCAGCAGUGAGGAAUAUUGGUCAAUGCACGCAAGUCUGAACCAGCCAUGCCGCGUGCAGGAUGAAGCAUCUAUGGUGUGUAAACUGCUUUUGUACGGGAAGAAACCCUCCUACGUGUAGGAGCUUGACGGUACCGUAAGAAUAAGGAUCGGCUAACUCCGUGCCAGCCGCCGCCGUAACAC